GAUUUUCGAAUUCGGAUUCGAAUUUUAUGCCCAGGCCUAGGUGGCUGCGUGUUUUGGUUACUACGUCAUCGUUUUAACAUUUUAAAUUCCUUUCUUUUUCCUUUUUCUUUUUUUUUUUUUGCUAUUACGAUUCUUAUUCUUUUUUUGUUUUCUGACUCUAUAUGCGAAACAGACAUUUCUAGUAAUAAAAUUUUAAGAAUACAGAAUUAUAUUAUUAUAUAUCAAUUAAGUAAAUAGCAUUAAGGGUAUGGAAUGUUUUGGCCGUGGUGGUGAUUUCAACCUUAGUCUAGGCGGUGGUUUUGGAGGCGGUGGUUCCAGCCGAUGUAGUUCUGGUGAGGGUCCUCCCAAUGAUGGCAAUUCUAGCAAAGCUUAUCGGUCUCGGUGGCGGUAACUACAAUGGUGGCUGCCACCAAAGGUGAGGGUGGUGACUCGUGAGUGGAGAUUACAUUUUUCCUAAUAUUUCUUUUUCAACUUAUAGUCGUACAUUUCAUUAUAAUUUCUACUGAUAUUUAAUAUUACUAUUGUUCGCUAACUUUAAAUACAUAAUUUGACAUGGUUCUUUUUUUUCUUUUUCUUUUUUUUUAUAUAUAUUAUCAAUGCGAUAAACAAAUCACGUAGAGUACAUACAUUUUUCUAAACACUUUCAAAAAAAUUAUAUCUUCUUUCGAAAUAUAUAUAUUCAAAUUGACCAUAUAAAGUAAUUGAUUAUUCAGUAAAAAAAGUUGAAAAUUAUCUACAAUAAUUUUAUUUUUCUAUGACUCAAGACCCUAAAUCUCACUACUCUCCUCUCUCAAUCUUCGCCAUGAAUCUCCCUCUUCCACUUUGUGUCGCCGCACCACCUAUAGAUCUCAUACUAGCGCUGUCUCACAUAUGCUUCCCGUCUCUGCUGCUCUCUUGAUUUUGAGCCAAUAGCUUCAUCGUGAAGAUGCAAUGAAUCGCGGAUAAAGAACCAGAGCCGAAGGGUCCUCAUCGUCACCAGAAUUGACAGAGAACCUAACGUCGGUGCACAAAUUUGUAAUUAGAAGAAGAAAACUUUUUGGGAAAUAACUCGCCGCGAGUGAGAUCCACGUGCGCGACACUCUCAUUUUACAGGUUUUUAUCUUUCGUCUACAAUAUAAUAACAAUAAAAUCUCAAAAAUAAAAUAAAAC
rnacentral:lncRNA from 1 species